UACGGAGGGUGCGAGCGUUAUCCGGAAUUACUGGGCUUAAAGGGUGCGUAGGCGGCGUAGUAAGUCAGGAGUGAAAGUUUGCGGCUCAACCGUAAAAUUGCUUUUGAUACUGCUAUGCUAGAAUUAGGAUGAGGUCAGCGGAAUGUGGCAUGUAGCGGUGAAAUGCAUAGAUAUGCCAUAGAACACCAAUUGCGAAGGCAGCUGGCUAGACCUGGAUUGACGCUGAGGCACGAAAGCGUGGGGAGCGAACAGG
rnacentral:rRNA from 1 species